rnacentral:rRNA from 1 species
UACGUAGGCAGCGAGCGUUGUUCGGAGUUACUGGGCGUAAAGCGUGCGUAGGCGGUGUCUUAAGUUUGUUGUGAAAUCUCCCGGCUUAACCGGGAGGGUGCGGCGAAUACUGAGAUGCUGGAGUGCCGGAGAGGUAAGCGGAAUUCCUGGUGUAGCGGUGAAAUGCGCAGAUAUCAGGAGGAACACCAAUUGCGAAGGCAGCUCGCUGGGACGUUACUGACGCUGAGACGCGAAAGCGUGGGGGAGCAAACAGG